rnacentral:rRNA from 1 species
AGCGAACGCUGGCGGCAUGCCUAACACAUGCAAGUCGCACGGGGGGGCUUCGGCCUCCCAGUGGCGGACGGGCGAGGAACGCGUAGGGACCUGUCGAGGGGUGGGGGAUAACCGCGGGAAACUGCGGCUAAUACCGCAUGACGCCGCGGCGUGACAGCCGGGGCCAAAGGCGAAAGCCGCCCGCCGAGGGGCCUGCGUCCGAUUAGCUGGUUGGCGGGGUAGCGGCCCACCAAGGCGUCGAUCGGUAGCUGGUCUGAGAGGGUGAUCAGCCACACCGGGACUGAGACACGGCCCGGACUCCUACGGGAGGCAGCAGUGGGGAAUAUUGGACAAUGGGCGCAAGCCUGAUCCAGCAAUGCCGCGUGGGUGAAGAAGGUCUUCGGAUUGUAAAGCCCUUUCGGCGGGGACGAUGGUGACGGUACCCGCAGAAGAAGCCCCGGCUAACUUCGUG